GAUGCCCACACCUGCUGGUCUCACCGCUAGGGCCUGGGCAUCACAGGCAGGGGGAAUGGGGAGGGGACGGUAGCGUCAGCCUACACCCACACGCAGUUUCCUGAUAAAAGGUCCUUUGGAAACUUUGAUUCUCUUCUCACCAAGUUGAACGGAGAUGUGUUCCCAUAGUAAGAGUGAGGCCCCUGCAUUUGCUGCCCUCGGUUUUCCCAACUAACACCAGGGCCUCCCCCCUGUACCCCAUUCAUAUGCCUCAGAAGCUGACAAUGACUGUUGGGCUUUUCCAAUGAAUACCAGAACACCAUUUCCUGCAGCCUGAAAAGAAGACAGUAUAAUUGUUUGGCAGCAAGAGAAUCCAGGUGCCCUUCCAUGAGAAGCCCAAGCCAUGUGGAGAAGCCACGUCUAGGGACUCCAGUUAACACUCUCAGCUGAGUCCCCAGCUGACAGUCAGCAUCAACUGCCAGCCACCUCUGUCUAAAAGUGGGCUAUCUUGGGCAUCCAGCCCAGUCAAGCCUUCAGAUGAGUCCAGUCCCAGCCACUAUCUCACACAACCACACGAGAGACAUCAAGAACUCCCAGUGGAGUCCAGUCAGCCCAUGGAACUGCAAGAGGUAAUAAAUUAUUGUUUUACAGUACUAAAAAAAGUUUUAAAGAAA
rnacentral:lncRNA from 1 species